rnacentral:rRNA from 1 species
UACGGGGGGGGCAAGCGUUGUUCGGAAUUACUGGGCGUAAAGGGCUCGUAGGCGGCCAACUAAGUCAGACGUGAAAUCCCUCGGCUUAACCGGGGAACUGCGUCUGAUACUGGAUGGCUUGAGUUUGGGAGAGGGACGCGGAAUUCCAGGUGUAGCGGUGAAAUGCGCAGAUAUCAGGAGGAACACCGGUGGCGAAGGCGGGUCUCUGGGCCGAUACUGACGCUGAGGAGCGAAAGCGUGGGGAGCGAACAGG